rnacentral:rRNA from 1 species
UUGAACGCUGGCGGCAGGCCUAACACAUGCAAGUCGAGCGGUAGCACAGAGAGCUUGCUCUCGGGUGACGAGCGGCGGACGGGUGAGUAAUGUCUGGGAAACUGCCUGAUGGAGGGGGAUAACUACUGGAAACGGUAGCUAAUACCGCAUAACGUCGCAAGACCAAAGUGGGGGACCUUCGGGCCUCAUGCCAUCAGAUGUGCCCAGAUGGGAUUAGCUAGUAGGUGGGGUAACGGCUCACCUAGGCGACGAUCCCUAGCUGGUCUGAGAGGAUGACCAGCCACACUGGAACUGAGACACGGUCCAGACUCCUACGGGAGGCAGCAGUGGGGAAUAUUGCACAAUGGGCGCAAGCCUGAUGCAGCCAUGCCGCGUGUGUGAAGAAGGCCUUCGGGUUGUAAAGCACUUUCAGCGGGGAGGAAGGCGAUAAGGUUAAUAACCUUGUCGAUUGACGUUACCCGCAGAAGAAGCACCGGCUAACUCCGUGCCAGCAGCCGCGGUAAUACGGAGGGUGCAAGCGUUAAUCGGAAUUACUGGGCGUAAAGCGCACGCAGGCGGUCUGUCAAGUCGGAUGUGAAAUCCCCGGGCUCAACCUGGGAACUGCAUUCGAAACUGGCAGGCUAGAGUCUUGUAGAGGGGGGUAGAAUUCCAGGUGUAGCGGUGAAAUGCGUAGAGAUCUGGAGGAAUACCGGUGGCGAAGGCGGCCCCAUGGACAAAGACUGACGCUCAGGUGCGAAAGCGUGGGGAGCAAACAGGAUUAGAUACCCUGGUAGUCCACGCCGUAAACGAUGUCGAUUUGGAGGUUGUGCCCUUGAGGCGUGGCUUCCGGAGCUAACGCGUUAAAUCGACCGCCUGGGGAGUACGGCCGCAAGGUUAAAACUCAAAUGAAUUGACGGGGGCCCGCACAAGCGGUGGAGCAUGUGGUUUAAUUCGAUGCAACGCGAAGAACCUUACCUGGUCUUGACAUCCACAGAACUUUCCAGAGAUGGAUUGGUGCCUUCGGGAACUGUGAGACAGGUGCUGCAUGGCUGUCGUCAGCUCGUGUUGUGAAAUGUUGGGUUAAGUCCCGCAACGAGCGCAACCCUUAUCCUUUGUUGCCAGCGGUUAGGCCGGGAACUCAAAGGAGACUGCCAGUGAUAAACUGGAGGAAGGUGGGGAUGACGUCAAGUCAUCAUGGCCCUUACGACCAGGGCUACACACGUGCUACAAUGGCAUAUACAAAGAGAAGCGACCUCGCGAGAGCAAGCGGACCUCAUAAAGUAUGUCGUAGUCCGGAUUGGAGUCUGCAACUCGACUCCAUGAAGUCGGAAUCGCUAGUAAUCGUAGAUCAGAAUGCUACGGUGAAUACGUUCCCGGGCCUUGUACACACCGCCCGUCACACCAUGGGAGUGGGUUGCAAAAGAAGUAGGUAGCUUAACCUUCGGGAGGGCGCUUACCACUUUGUGAUUCAUGACUGGGGUG